rnacentral:rRNA from 1 species
GACGAACGCUGGCGGCGUGCCUAAUACAUGCAAGUUGAGCGCUGAAGGUUGGUACUUGUACCAACUGGAUGAGCAGCGAACGGGUGAGUAACGCGUGGGGAAUCUGCCUUUGAGCGGGGGACAACAUUUGGAAACGAAUGCUAAUACCGCAUAAAAACUUUAAACACAAGUUUUAAGUUUGAAAGAUGCAAUUGCAUCACUCAAAGAUGAUCCCGCGUUGUAUUAGCUAGUUGGUGAGGUAAAGGCUCACCAAGGCGAUGAUACAUAGCCGACCUGAGAGGGUGAUCGGCCACAUUGGGACUGAGACACUGCCCAAACUCCUACGGGAGGCAGCAGUAGGGAAUCUUCGGCAAUGGACGAAAGUCUGACCGAGCAACGCCGCGUGAGUGAAGAAGGGUUUCGGAUCGUAAAACUCUGUUGGUAGAGAAGAACGUUGGUGAGAGUGGAAAGCUCAUCAAGUGACGGUAACUACCCAGAAAGGGACGGCUAACUACGUG